GCGCGAAACCUCCGCAAUGUACGAAAGUGCGACGGGGGGAUCCCAAGUGUUAUUCUUAAUAGGAUAACUUUUCAUUAGUGUAAAAAGCUUUUAGGAAUAAGAGCUGGGCAAGACCGGUGC
rnacentral:rRNA from 1 species